AAACAAAAACAAACACUUCUAAUCGUCAUAAUUAUACUCUUCCUCCUUAGAACAAAACUUAAUUUUUCUCAUCUUUCUCUUGUUUUUCUUCGCCACACCUAAUUUCGAUCUCUUCCUCCUUAGUUUCUUCUUCCUCUACAAAAUCUUUCAUGAGAACUAUCUGUCGCCUCCUCUUCCUCAGUCUCUUCCUCUACCUCAUGUUCCCAGACCCUAAACCCAUCUCACCCAAACCUAAUGUUACCUCCUGAAUCCUGAUACCCUAAUGUUGGAGUAGAAUCCUCUGAUUGAACCCAUCUCUCCUCACCCGCCAGCGUCUUGGGAAGUAAUCGGUGGGAAAUUAGAAACGUGAAGGAGGGAAUCGAGAUCUACGGCCGCCGAAAUCAAGAUCUACGACGUUUCGAGGUUUCGAAACCGCCGCAUCCGUACAGUACGCCGUCACCUCCAGAUUAAUUUCGACUAAAACCAGAGUAAGAGAGGACAAGGUCGAGAAAUUCGCAGUAUAGAGGAGUCACCUUCUAUAGAAGAACUGGUCGAUGUUGCAGUACUGCUCAUGUUGCAGUAGGUGGUUUCGAUACUGCUCAUGUUGGUGCUAGAGCUUAUGAUCGAGCUGCUAUCAAAUUUAGAGGUGUUGAUGCAGAUUUGUUUUGGACCUUUUGGUUCUCUGUUACCAGAGAUGAAUAGAUGAUCAGUUCUUCAAGUCAAGCCGUCGAGGAAAGUUGCGGAAAGAGAUUGAGGAUUGUUAUCGAAACGGUUUCGGUUGAUGCUAGUUCUAAAUUAAGGAUUCAAUCCCGUGACUAAGGUGAGAGUGUUAUUUGCGGAUAAUAGUAACCUUUUUCUUAUGUACUCUUCGAUAGUUGUUGAGUAUAGAUUCAAGAAUUGUUUGUUAACUGAAUGUGUUUGCCUGGAUUUGUGUGUAUAGUAAGUAGGUUGUUAGUAACAUGAUAUAUGUGAAGCAUAUUAGUUACAUGAUUUAAUGUUAUGAGUUAACGUAUAUAUUAUAUUAUAAAUAUAAUUAUGAACAUACAUGAGAAUGAGAAUGAGAAUGAUAAUGAGAAAAGAAAAGAUAUUUGAGGAUGUUGGACUGUAAUGGACCGACGGGUUCAUUGCAGGUCAUAACCGCUGACGAGCAGUACGAGAAGAAUCAAGCUAUGGACCGUGGUCUUUCAAGAAUGGGGUUUGUGAGCCAGAAAAAGUGAUAAUGGCCAAACCUAUAAGGAAUGUAAAACUUCUCAAGUAAUAUAAAGAAAAAGAAAUGUUUUAAUGUUGUAAUUGCAACAAAAGUGCAUAAAAUAAUAUAGAAGUUAUUGAUGAAAAAUAAGAUGUUUGUUUGACUGAUAGACAUUCUGAAUCUAUGCUAAGUAAUGGUUGUUGAUUAUAUUUGUAACGUGAUUAUUGUAUGUCCAGUGGGCAGAGUUUGAUCUCCUCACUGAGUAAACUUGUUUACUCACCCCUUCUUCCCUUUUUCCCAGAUGGAUUACAUGUUGUUCCUUCUUUUGCGACGGUACAUGUGUUACAACAAUCUCCAAUUUCUGGUGGAUUUCUAAUGGCAAAAAACGGAGUUUACAUUGGCUAGUCUGGAACCAUCAAAACAUUUAUUCAACUAAGAGAUUGGUGGAAAAAGGAGCAAUGUGGACGUUAGGCUCAGGUUAUACUAUGACAGUAUGACACGAUCCAUGUAUACCUGAUUACAACCCAUGGCCAGCAAAUGACAUCCAAAUUUAAUGGUUAAUCAUUUAAUUAACCCAACAACUAAGAAGUGGCACUUGUCCAGCCUUCACAAAUUUAUGGACCCAGAGGUUGGUAUUAUUAGGGGCAUGUCCAUAAGUAAAGCAUAUAAGCCAAAUAGAUUGGCCAGACAUUAUACGAACUCCAAAAGAUACAAUAUU